AAUGAACGCUGGCGGCAGGCCUAACACAUGCAAGUCGAACGGAUCCUUCGGGAUUAGUGGCGGACGGGUGAGUAACGCGUGGGAACAUACCCUUUGGUACGGAAUAGCCUCGGGAAACUGGGAGUAAUACCGUAUGUGGUCGAGAGACGAAAGAUUUAUCGCCAAAGGAUUGGCCCGCGUUGGAUGAGGUAGUUGGUGGGGUAAUGGCCUACCAAGCCGACGAUCCAUAGAUGGUUUGAGAGGAUGAUCCGCCACACUGGGACUGAGACACGGCCCAGACUCCGACGGGAGGCAGCAGUGGGGAAUCUUAGACAAUGGGGGAAACCCUGAUCUAGCCAUGCCGCGUGAUCGAUGAAGGCCUUAGGGUUGUAAAGAUCUUUCAGGUGGGAAGAUAAUGACCGUACCACCAGAAGAAGCCCCGGCUAACUCCGUGCCAGCCGCCGCCGUAACAC
rnacentral:rRNA from 1 species